rnacentral:rRNA from 1 species
UCAUAUGCUUGUCUCAAAGAUUAAGCCAUGCAUGUCUAAGUACGUGCCUAAGAAAGGUGAAACCGCGAAUGGCUCAUUAAAUCAGUUAUGGUUCCUUAGAUCGUACCUUACUACUUGGAUAACUGUGGUAAUUCUAGAGCUAAUACAUGCAGCAGAGCUCCGACCUUCGGGGACGAGCGCUUUUAUUAGACCAAGACCAAUCGGACCUCGGUCCGAAGCUCAUGGUGACUCUGGAUAACUUUGGGCUGAUCGCACGGUCUCGUACCGGCGACGCAUCUUUCAAGUGUCUGCCUUAUCAACUUUCGAUGGUAGGUUAUGCGCCUACCAUGGUCGUAACGGGUAACGGGGAAUCAGGGUUCGAUUCCGGAGAGGGAGCCUGAGAAACGGCUACCACAUCCAAGGAAGGCAGCAGGCGCGCAAAUUACCCACUCCCGGCACGGGGAGGUAGUGACGAAAAAUAACAAUACGGGACUCUAUUGAGGCCCCGUAAUUGGAAUGAGUACACUCUAAAUCCUUUAACGAGGAUCUAUUGGAGGGCAAGUCUGGUGCCAGCAGCCGCGGUAAUUCCAGCUCCAAUAGCGUAUAUUAAAGUUGUUGCGGUUAAAAAGCUCGUAGUUGGAUCUCAGUUCCAGACGGGUGGUCCGCCCCUGGCGGCUACUGCCCGGCCUGAACAAGUCCGGCCGGUUUCCCUUGAUGCUCUUCACCGAGUGUCUUGGGUGACCGGCACGUUUACUUUGAAAAAAUUAGAGUGCUCAAAGCAGGCGUGACGCCUGAAUAAUGGUGCAUGGAAUAAUGGAAUAGGACCUCGGUUCUAUUUUGUUGGUUUUCGGAACACGAGGUAAUGAUUAAGAGGGACAGACGGGGGCAUUCGUAUUGCGACGCUAGAGGUGAAAUUCUUGGACCGUCGCAAGACGAACUACU